rnacentral:sRNA from 1 species
CUUUCUAGCCAGCGACCAGGAUUUGUUCAAGCGACUUCACAAUGAAUUCUCUGUUAUAUUUUUAGUAUUUGACAAGCUGAACAGUGCAUUCAGUCCACCUUCCUACAGUGUAUGGACAACUCUGUUGGCUAAUGUGCACGAUACUUUGCUCGAGAUUGCCAGACUUUCAAG